rnacentral:ncRNA from 1 species
UAAUCUUUUUAAAUUUUAAUUUCAUAAAAUUUUAUGAAAUUAUGAAAUUAAAAUUUAAAAAGAUUCUUUAAUAUUACUAGAAAAGUUUGAUUUUAGCUUUAGUUUUUAAAUUAUAAAUUUUUACAUGUAAAUUUAGGCAGUAUUUAGUAUUGUAAAAAUUUUACAAAGUUACAAAUUUUUAAAAUUUUCGUAGAAAAAUUUGUGCCAGCGUCUGCGGUUAGACAAUAAUCUAAAAUAAAUAUUUUUAUAAAUUUAUGAUUUUCUAAAUAAUUUAAAAUUAUCAAAAAGAUAUUUAGUGAAAUUAAUACUUUUAAAAUUUUAUUUUUAACUUAAUCAAAAAAUAAUUUUUUUGACUAGGAUUAGAUACCCUAUUAUUUUUAUUUUAUUUUUAGGUAGUAGUAAAAAGAAACCUAAAAAAUUUGGCGGUGAAUUAUUCUUUCUAGAGGAACCUGUUUUUUAAAUGAAAUUACACAAUUAUAAUUCUAAUUUUUAGUUUAUAUACCGUUGUUGACAAAAUUAAAUUAAUAAUUUAAUUUAAUAUAUUAAAAUAAAUGUAAUUCAAAUCAAGGUUUAGCUUAUAAAUUGGUUUCAAAUGGGUUACACUAAAAAAUUAUUCGGUUAAAAGAUGGAUUUAGGAGUAAUUUAUUUUAAUAUUUUUUAUUUGAAUAAAGUUCUAAUUCAUGUACACAUCGCCCGUCGCUCUAAUUUUAUAAUUAGAUAAGUCGUAACAAAGUAGAAGUUCCGGAAGGAGUGUCUAG